rnacentral:rRNA from 1 species
UCCGGUUGAUCCUGCCGGACCCGACUGCUAUCAGAGUGGGACUAAGCCAUGCGAGUCAACAUAGCAAUAUGUGGCAUACGGCUCAGUAACACGUAGUCAACAUGCCCAGGGGACGUGGAUAACCUCGGGAAACUGAGGAUAAACCGCGAUAAGUCACUGCUUCUGGAAUGGGCAAUGACUUAAAUCUUUAUGGCCCCUGGAUUGGACUGCGGCCGAUCAGGCUGUUGGUGAGGUAAUGGCCCACCAAACCUGUAACCGGUACGGGCUCUGAGAGGAGGAGCCCGGAGAUGGGCACUGAGACAAGGGCCCAGGCCCUAUGGGGCGCAGCAGGCGCGAAACCUCUGCAAUAGGCGAAAGCCUGACAGGGUUACUCUGAGUGAUUUCCGUUAAGGAGAUCUUUUGGCACCCCUAAAAAUGGUGCAGAAUAAGGGGUGGGCAAGUCUGGUGUCAGCCGCCGCGGUAAUACCAGCACCCCGAGUGGUCGGGACGUUUAUUGGGCCUAAAGCAUCCGUAGCCGGUUCUGCAAGUCUUCCGUUAAAUCCACCUGCUUAACAGAUGGGCUGCGGAAGAUACUAUAGAGCUAGGAGGCGGGAGAGGCAAGCGGUACUCGAUGGGUAGGGGUAAAAUCCGUUGAUCCAUUGAAGACCACCAGUGGCGAAGGCGGCUUGCCAGAACGCGCUCGACGGUGAGGGAUGAAAGCUGGGGGAGCAAACCGGAUUAGAUACCCGGGUAGUCCCAGCUGUAAACGAUGCAGACUCGGUGAUGAAUUGGCUUUAUGCCAAUUCAGUGCCGCAGGGAAGCCGUUAAGUUUGCCGCCUGGGGAGUACGGUCGCAAGACUGAAACUUAAAGGAAUUGGCGGGGGAGCACCACAAGGGGUGAAGCCUGCGGUUCAAUUGGCAACGCCGGAAAUCUUACCGGGGGCGACAGCAGAAUGAAGGUCAGGCUGAAGACUUUACCAGACAAGCUGAGAGGAGGUGCAUGGCCGUCGCCAGCUCGUGCCGUGAGGUGUCCUGUUAAGUCAGGUAACGAGCGAGACCCCUGCCUCUAGUUGCUACCACUAUUCUCAGGAGUAGUGGAGCUAAUUAGAGGGACUGCCGUCGCUGAGACGGAGGAAGGAGGGGGCUACGGCAGGUCAGUAUGCCCCGAAACCCUCGGGCCACACGCGGGCUGCAAUGGUAAGGACAAUGAGUAUCGAUUCCGAAAGGAGGAGGCAAUCUCUAAACCUUACCACAGUUAUGAUUGAGGGCUGAAACUCGCCCUCAUGAAUAUGGAAUCCCUAGUAACCGCGUGUCACUAUCGCGCGGUGAAUACGUCCCUGCUCCUUGCACACACCGCCCGUCGCUUCAUCGAAGUUGGUUCUUGGCGAGGUGAUGCCUAAUUGGUACUAUCGAACCUGGGGUCAGCAACGAGGGAG